GUCAUAMUUYUAUAAUAGAGAAUGUUAUUUGUAAAAUGAACGUACUAUGCUUUUCGGUGAAAUGAGUCAACUUAAUCCUCCUUCCACGUAUUAACUAUACAAACAUUGACUAUAAACAAGGAUUAGAUACCCUUUUAUACAAUGCACAACAACUUUACAGAGCACUAAAACCCUCUAGGUUAAAACUUAAAUAACAUGGCGGUAAUCUUGGCUCUUAGGGGAACUUACCAUAUAAAUGAUAACCACCAAGUUAAAUUAACUUAAAGAAAUUCUUGUAUGCCGUCGUCGGCAGAUAAUAUUUAACAUUUUAUCUUAAUAAACUUUAAAAAGACAGAUCAAGGUGCAGACAAUCUUUAAGUGAUGGCGAGUUACAAUUAGCAAACUAGGCGGAUAGUCCUUUGUACUGAGGCCUUUAAGAAGGACUUAACAGUAAUUCAUAUUAUAUAUUACUGCGUGAAAUCACCAGGAUUGUGCACAA
rnacentral:rRNA from 1 species